rnacentral:rRNA from 1 species
GACGAACGCUGGCGGCGUGCCUAAUACAUGCAAGUAGAACGCUGAAGGAGGAGCUUGCUUCUCUGGAUGAGUUGCGAACGGGUGAGUAACGCGUAGGUAACCUGCCUGGUAGCGGGGGAUAACUAUUGGAAACGAUAGCUAAUACCGCAUAAUAGUAGAUGUUGCAUGACAUUUGCUUAAAAGGUGCAAUUGCAUCACUACCAGAUGGACCUGCGUUGUAUUUGCUAGUUGGUGGGGUAACGGCUCACCAAGGCGACGAUACAUAGCCGACCUGAGAGGGGGGUCGGCCACCCUGGGACUGAGACACGGCCCAGACUCCUACGGGAGGCAGCAGUAGGGAAUCUUCGGCAAUGGACGGAAGUCUGACCGAGCAACGCCGCGUGAGGGAAGAAGGUUUUCGGAUCGUAAAGCUCUGUUGUAAGAGAAGAACGAGUGUGAGAGUGGAAAGUUCACACUGUGACGGUAUCUUACCAGAAAGGGACGGCUAACUACGUG